CGAACAGGUACAUUCGUUGAAGACGUCAUAAAAUCAGCGGAAGGUGCCAUUGAUAAUAUAACGUUCUGACUGUCUUGGAAGCUUUUCUUUCCAUACCUGGUGUCAAGGCGGUAUAAGUUGACAAAGUACCAGCGAAGACCUGAUGAUGGAGACUCACCGGUAUCUUUGGGCUUUGGUAGUGUUGGUGUGCUUGGGAGGGUCGUACGUGUUGACGGCACCGGCGGAUCUGCCUGUGGGAGAAGCCGGACCUGAAAUUGUGGUUGCCGAGCAAGGCAAUAAAGCAUGUGAACUCGAUGUGCUGAUGAAUUCCACCUACCAAUGUACACACCCUGUUGAUGUUAACGCCAUCGCUGCGGAGACAGAGAAUGAUCUGCCACUCUGCGACUGCCCAGCGUUUUCAGACUGCACGGCCAUAAAGAUCGGAGAAAUUUACAAAUGCAAAUCUAAGGAGUUAGUUAUGGAGGAACAAGCGGACCUACUGAUGUUUAAUAUGAACAUGGUGGGUGACGAUGCCGAAUAGGAAACAGCAUCUUGGCAGUGAAGCUUUUUGUAGUCAGCGGUAGAAUACCUUGUCCAGCAUGGCAGCAUGAACUUGUUUCAUGUCAAUGCCCAAUACAUCCGCAUGAGCCACGGGGUGCGAGUUUUUUUCAGUGGACAUAAAGCAACAACGUUAAUAUAUCUCUAACAGAAAUGUUUUUCUAACUAAUUCCCCCCUCCCUCCGGCAUGCCGCGCUUUUUGCCAUACAUGGUUGUAGUUAUGUCUUGGAUAGCGUUAAUAAUGUCUAUGUGAAUAAAAUAUGAAGCUUAAAC